rnacentral:rRNA from 1 species
GAUGAACGCUGGCGAGAUGCUUUACACAUGCAAGUCAUACGAGAGUUUUUAACUCAAGUGGCGGACGGGUGAGUAACACGUAAGAAUUUACCUUUAGGAGGGGGAUAACAACGAGAAAUUGUUGCUAAUACCCCAUAUGCUUUCGAGUGAAAUGGAUUUUUCCGCCUAGAGAGAAGCUUGCGCCUGAUUAGCUUGUUGGUAAGGUAAUGGCUUACCAAGGCGACGAUCAGUAUCUGGUCUGAGAGGAUGAGCAGCCACACUGGGACUGAGACACGGCCCAGACUCCUACGGGAGGCAGCAGUGGGAAUUUUCCGCAAUGGGCGAAAGCCUGACGGAGCAAGACCGCGUGGGGGAGGAAGGUUUUUGGAUCGUAAACCCUUUGUCAAGGAAGAAGCUCUGACGGUAUUGACGAAUAAGCCUCGGCUAACUCCGUGCCAGCCGCCGCGGUAA